GGAGCACCCCCCCGUCCACAGCUCAGAAUGUGUUCGCAGCUUCUCCUCUCAGCUGAGGUUUCUAAAUGAAACCCGAGAAGUCCGCGACAGCAGCGCGGUGCGGAUCCGCCGGACGCCUUUUCGCCCUUCUCAUCACCGGUUCCAUGAUUUGCGCAAGAAAAUCUAAUUUUUGAAAGAAUGAUUAAUUGGAGAAUGACUAAUGAAGACACAUUCUACUGCUCUCUGUCCUGCCUCGUCUUAUUUACACUAGUCUAGCCCGGUUUGGGGGUGGGCACGCAGGAUUCCUGUGUGUUAAACCAGAGCGCGCGUCAUCUCUCCACUGAUGUCCAUUGAUUUAUGAUUUUUGGGACAUUCAUCGGGUUUCGUGCAAGGACUUUGAUCCGUUCCAGGGACACGGUGGCUUCCUCUCUUUUCCUAGUUGUCCAAUUAGGAGCAGGAGACUUGUAACUUUCUUCUCCCAUGUGGGGAAACGCUCUAUUCCUCCUGGGGGAGACGCGGUUCGGCCGUGCCUUUUAUUAUUUUUAGGUUUGCUGCUCGCAAAGACUGAAGCUGAACAAUCAUAUUUCUGAGGACCUCGACAGGCAUCACUGUCACACACACACUCACACACACACACACGCGCGCGCGCGCUGAAAUACUCGUGCAGAUACAUUUAUUUCUAUUGCGCAUUAUCCAACUUGAGAGCCCCGAAGAACUGCAACAGCAUCGUGUGGGGGGGCUAACACCUGCAGAGAGGCGAUCUCUCCACCGGCUACUGGGACAACUGGGAUUAAACAUCCGCCGGCUGGGAUUCUACCAUGUCAGGUGUACGGGGCUGCAGAUGGACUGUCCUCAUCUGUGUGGCGGCGCUUUCAUGUGCACCUCAAAACCCAAAUACAUAAAUCACAUUUACUCGACGAGAAGCUGGAGAAGCUGGAGAAGCAGGAGAAGCAGGAGAAGCUGGAGAAGCUGGAGAAGCUGGAGAAGCAGGAGAAGCUGGAGAAGCAGGAGAAGCUGGAGAAGCAGGAGAAGCUGGAGAAGCAGGAGAAGAGGAGAAGCUGGAGAAGCUGGAGAAGCUGGAGAAGCAGGAGAAGCAUGGAGAAGCAGGAGAAGCUGGAGAAGCAGGAGAAGCUGGAGAAGCAGGAGAAGCUGGAGAAGCAGGAGAAACAGGAGAAGCAGGAGAAGCUGGAGAAGCUGGAUAUUCUCUCAUUUCAGAAUCUUGAAAAAUGCCAAAAUGUAUUAAAGUUUCUGAAUGGAGUUCUGUCGAUGUCGGACUUGCAGCUCCAAAAACCCAACAUGUGAGAGUAGCAGACGCAGCUUGUCACUCAGUAAAUGUCAUAUUUAAUAGUAAUGAUCUGCUUUAUUAAUCCUGAGACCUGCGAGUUCACCAGGAGGGUCACACUGACGUGUUGAAAGAAUAUACGGAUGAUGAGCGACCGUGUUACAUGCAAGGUGUCAGAUGUUGUGAGUCCUGCUCUGCAGUGGGCUGUGUAGCAUGUCCUGUGCAGCAGCGUUUGCCCAGUCAUGGUUUGCACGUCGUUGGCAGCGUUCCCAGCAGCAGCCUAUCUCUUAGAGUAGACACUGGACAGAGCAGACAAAGCAUCAGUGUGACAACCCACCUCUGAUGUUCCAGCCUAAUUGAUUAACGUGUGGUGAAACGAAGCCUUUGCUGUCGCCGUGUUUUGAAAAGGUUUCCAUUUGUAUGGAGAACACUGCGCUAUAUGCAUUAGAAACCCCGCUGCAUGACCACAUGCAUCACCGUGUGAAUGCAAAUGAGGCACUGAUGCCGCUUGUUCUGUUUCUGUCAGGAUGUCACAUUGUUGUUGGUACACCUGCCACCUUUGUUUGCGUCCAUGCAGCAGCUUCUUCUCAGUCCAUGCUUCAGGGUAGAGCUUUUUUCGUGACAUUUGCUGUAAGUUUUUAAGACAAUAAAUAAACCUGUUUGCAGUAUGGCACCCUUUUUGCAAGAUGACUUUUUGUAUUUCUUUUCUUUUCAGUGACAGAUGGGCUCAAGGCUAAAACCAAUCUGUGCUCUCUGAACAGCAGGGCAGCCAUCUACUGGAAACAAUAAGAGAAAUAAAGCUGUUACUGGAAAGACGCAGCUUUGUUUUACUCACAGCCUCGUUCUGUAAUUACACUCAGAUCUCCACGACGACCUGUCCAUCUGCUGUUCUCUUUGUAAUUGUUGGAAUAGGCCAAAGCAGUUUUUCUUUAAGUGUAGAAACAGUCUUUGAAGCCUUGUACUUGUACCUUGUACUUGAAUCCCUUUCGGAGCUUGAAGCUAAGUUUCUGCUCUUGCGUGGCCGUUAGCGUGCACGGUAGCGUGCAUGCUCAGGAUGUUGUCCUUCAUCAGCGGUGAAAUGAGCCUUUUGUGAAACCUUAGUUCCCUGAGAUGUGCCAGAUCUACCCAGGAGCAGACCCAGGAGCUCCAGGGCUCUUUGGUACUGCCUGCUGAAAGCAGUACACUACUUGUUUACAAUGCAUUACCCCCUUUCUUACAAGACCAAGAUGUCAGGAUCUUGAAAUAUUAGAAUCAUGAAAGCGUGCAUGUUUGGUUUUGUUGUGCAAGAAGUGAAUCCCUCAAUAGAAAUCAAUUUACCACGUUUGAAUAUUCCCCCACUUGAAUGUACUGAAAAGCCCCGUUUGUUAAGAGAGUAGAUUAAGCACAGUAAAUAAAAUCUGCAUUAGAGGUUCUUGAGUUCAUGGAUCAGCGUGAAGCCUGAGCAGCAGACGGCUGUUUGCCAUUUAUUUCACGUCUGUGAAGACCUUGUGAGACAAAACCUUCCUGUCUUAUUCAAGGCUUCGAGCACCGCUCCUCCAAAACACUUGAUCUUGAAUGGUUAAGCUGCGUCUGUGUGUCAGAACUCUUACAGGCAUGGGUUAUAUUUAAACACAUUUGAACACCUGCAUGCAGCCCGUCUGCUGCUCCCAAUUAAG
ensembl:lncRNA